rnacentral:rRNA from 1 species
GAUGAGUGCUGGCGGCGUGCCUAAUACAUGCAAGUCGAGCGAACAGAUAAGGAGCUUGCUCCUUUGACGUUAGCGGCGGACGGGUGAGUAACACGUGGGUAACCUACCUGUAAGACUGGGAUAACUUCGGGAAACCGGAGCUAAUACCGGAUAACAUUUGGAACCGCAUGGUUCUAAAGUGAAAGAUGGUUUUGCUAUCACUUAUAGAUGGACCCGCGCCGUAUUAGCUAGUUGGUAAGGUAACGGCUUACCAAGGCGACGAUACGUAGCCGACCUGAGAGGGUGAUCGGCCACACUGGAACUGAGACACGGUCCAGACUCCUACGGGAGGCAGCAGUAGGGAAUCUUCCGCAAUGGGCGAAAGCCUGACGGAGCAACGCCGCGUGAGUGAUGAAGGGUUUCGGCUCGUAAAACUCUGUUAUUAGGGAAGAACAAAUGUGUAAGUAACUGUGCACGUCUUGACGGUACCUAAUCAGAAAGCCACGGCUAACUACGUG